rnacentral:rRNA from 1 species
CAGCAGCCGCGGUAAUACAGAGGGUCCAAGGCUUAUCCGGAUUUAUUGGGUUUAAAGGGUCCGUAGGCGGGAGAAUAAGUCAGUGGUGAAAGUCUGUGGCUCAACUGUAGAACUGCCAUUGAAACUGUUUGUCUUGAGUAUAGAUGAAGUGGGCGGAAUGUGUCAUGUAGCGGUGAAAUGCAUAGAUAUGACUCAGAACACCGAUUGCGAAGGCAGCUCACUAAACUUUUACUGACGCUGAGGGACGAAAGCGUGGGGAGCGAACAGGAUUAGAUACCCUGGUAGUCCACGCCGUAAACGAUGAUUACUCGGUGCUGGUACCUAGUGUGAGUGCCUAAGCGAAAGCGAUAAGUUAUCCACCUGGGGAGUACGGUCGCAAGAUUGAAACUCAAAGGAAUUGACGGGGGCCCGCACAAGCGGUGGAGCAUGUGGUUUAAUUCGAUGAUACGCGAGGAACCUUACCUGGGCUUAAAUGUUUUUGACAGGGUUGGAAACCACCCUUCUUCGGACCAUUAAAAGGUGCUGCAUGGUUGUUGUCAGCUCGUGCCGUGAGGUGUCAGGUUAAGUCCUAUAACGAGCGCAACCCCUUUCUUUAGUUGCCAGCGAGUCAUGUCGGGAACUCUAACGAAACUGCCUGUGCAAACUGUGAGGAAGGUGGGGAUGACGUCAAAUCAUCACGGCCCUUACGUCCUGGGCUACACACGUGCUACAAUGGUAGGUACAGAGAGCAGCCACACCGCGAGGUGGAGCGAAUCCUUAAAACCUAUCUCAGUUCGGAUCGGAGUCUGCAACUCGACUGCGUGAAGCUGGAAUCGCUAGUAAUCGGAUAUCAGCCAUGAUCCGGUGAAUACGUUCCCGGGCCUUGUACACACCGCCCGUCAAGCCAUGGAAGCUCGGGGUACCUGAAGUCGGUCACCGCAAGGAGCCGCCUAGGGUAAAACUGGUAACUAGGGCUAAGUCGUAACAAGGUAGCCGUA